rnacentral:rRNA from 1 species
UACUUAAUAACUAGCUUACACGACUAAAAUAACAAAUGUUAUUAAGCAAACCUAAAAUUUCUAAAACCUUUAACUAAAACAUUUUAUUGCUCUUAGUAUGGGCGACAAAAAAGAAAAAUAAUUUUAGCUAUAACUAAAGUACCGCAAGGGAAAGCUGAAAAACACACAUAAGUAAAAAGAAGCAGAGUUCUACCCUCGUACCUUUCGCAUGAUGCUUUAGUUAGAUAAUGUUAAGCAAAAAGCAUUUUAGUUCAACACUCCGAAAUUAGGUGAGCUACUCUAAAGCAGUUUGAUCUAAAGAACGCACCCGUCUCUGUGGCAAAAGAGUGGGACGACUUUUGAGUAGAGGUGAUAUGCCUACCAAACCUAAUAAUAGCUGAUUACCUAAAAAAUGAAUAUAAGUUCAGCCUUUUUUAUUCUUAACCCAAACAUAUAAAUUCAACACAGUCAAAAAGAAUUGAAAAAGAGUUAGUCAAAGGAGGUCCAGCCCCUCUGAAAAGUUGUAAUUUUUCUGGGAAAACAGUAAAACUUAAGGAAGUAUACUAUAUGGCCUUGAAAGCAGUCACUAUAUAACAAAAUGUGUCAAAACUCAAAAAUUUUCUUCCCAUAGAUGUCAAGAAAUUAAGUAAAUUUUCCCAAACUUAUUAGGUUAAUUACACCCCCCCCCGUAAUGCAAUAAUACUAAUAUGAGUAAUAAGAAAACCCUAUUUCUCUUUAAGCACCUUAAUAUCCAAACACUCUCCAUAACUAACGACCCCCACAAAGUUGUUGUAAAAACUUUAAUCAACAAGAAAACCCCUUAAUACCCUAAUCGUUAAUCCUACCCCGGCACUUAAAUACAGAAAGACUAAAAAGAGAGCAAGGAACUCGGCAAAUAAACCACUAAACCCCGCCUGUUUACCAAAAACAUCGCCUCUUGAAACAAAAAUAAGAGGUCUUGCCUGCCCCCUGACACAUGUUCAACGGCCGCGGUAUCCUAACCGUGUGAAGGUAGCGUAAUCAUUUGUUUUUUAAAUAGAGACCUGUAUGAAUGGCAUGACGAGGGUUUAACUGUCUCACUCUCUUAGUCAAUGAAAUUGAUUUUUCCGUGCAGAAGCGGAGAUACAAACACAAGACAAAAAGACCCCGUGAAGCUUUAAGGUGAAAAAUAACAGUUUUAAUAUAAAAUCAAUGAACCACUCCACCCACCUUUCGGUUGGGGCAACCCUGGAGAAAACAAAUCCUCCACGAAAAACGCCAAAAUCCCAUUAGACUUGAAUCAACAAUACUAACUUACAAAAUAUUUGUUCUAAUGAUCCAGAAAUACUGAUCAACGAAACAAGUUACUCCGGGGAUAACAGCGCAAUCCCCUUCUAGAGCCCAUAUUGACAAGGGGGUUUACGACCUCGAUGUUGGACCAGGACAUCCUAAUGGCGCAGCCGCUGUUAAAGGUUCGUUUGUUCAACGAUUAAAGUCCUACGUGAUCUGAGUUCAGACCGGAGCAAUCCAGGUCAGUUUUUAUCUGUGAAAUAUUUUCUUUCAGUACGAAAGGACCAAAGAAAAAAAGCCUCUUCUGCAAGAACGCUUUAUUUUAAUUUAAGGAACCCAACUAAAAUAAGUAAAAACAAAAUAUGUGGAAGAAUAAAACUUUCCCG